UCUUCUGGUGUGUCUGAAGACAGCGACAGUGUGAAAGACCCCCAGAGUGGGGAGACCCUCACUCAAGUCUCGGGAUGACGCAACCCCCCAAGAACUCACACAAGACC
rnacentral:pre_miRNA from 14 species